CUGCUUCCAUUGGGCCAGCUGAGGGAUGGAAAUUGAGCUUUUUCCUGUGGCCCCAUUACCACCACUGGGUGGCAGAACGAGAGCUGUUUAUUAUGCUAUGUCCAGGAAUUUUUAGUUGUAGGCACAUAGUAGGUGAUCAGUAAAUGCUGGUUGAUCUGCAAUCUAAGUCUUGGUCAAUUAGACCAAUCUACACAUUGUUGAAGGGUUGGAAC
rnacentral:lncRNA from 1 species